AAGACGCUUUGAAUCAGUGCAGGAAAUCCUCCCUGCUGGCCUGAGGCAGCCUUUCAGGCCCGCUGAAACCGCCAUUGGCGGGACUUGGCACAACCGCUGCAUUAAUUCUCCCAACAGCACAUACGACCCGGCCUUCAACGACGAAGGAUGGGUUUUCCCGAGAGAACGGGACCGGACAAAGGCGUCCUGCCAGGCAACUGGCGGGACGCC
rnacentral:sRNA from 1 species